rnacentral:tRNA from 1 species
GCCCGGGUGGCGGAAUUGGUAGACGCGGUGGAUUCAAAAUCCAUUGUCUUAACGGACGUGCGAGUUCAAGUCUCGCCCCGGGCACCA